rnacentral:rRNA from 1 species
GAUGGACGCUAGCGGCAGGCUUAACACAUGCAAGUCGAGGGGCAGCAUAAACAUUGCUUGCAAUGUUUGAUGGCGACCGGCGCACGGGUGCGUAACGCGUAUGUAACCUACCUCAAACAGGGGCAUAACACUGAGAAAUUGGUACUAAUUCCCCAUAACACUUUGGGAGGCAUCUCCUGGGGGUUGAAAGUUCCGGCGGUUUGAGAUGGACAUGCGUUGUAUUAGCUAGUUGGUGAGGUAACGGCUCACCAAGGCGACGAUACAUAGGGGGACUGAGAGGUUAACCCCCACAUUGGUACUGAGACACGGACCAAACUCCUACGGAGGCAGCAGUGAGGAAUAUUGGUCAAGUGGACGCAAGUCUGAACCAGCCAUGCCGCGUGCAGGAAGACGGCUCUAUGAGUUGUAAACUGCUUUUGUACGAGGGUAAAAUAAGAUACGUGUAUCUU